rnacentral:rRNA from 1 species
UACGUAGGGUGCGAGCGUUGUCCGGAAUUAUUGGGCGUAAAGAGCUCGUAGGCGGCUUGUCGCGUCGGAUGUGAAAGCCCGGGGCUUAACUCCGGGUCUGCAUUCGAUACGGGCUAGCUAGAGUGUGGUAGGGGAGAUCGGAAUUCCUGGUGUAGCGGUGGAAUGCGCAGAUAUCAGGAGGAACACCGGUGGCGAAGGCGGAUCUCUGGGCCGAUACUGACGCUGAGGAGCGAAAGCGUGGGUAGCAAACAGG